CGGGACACGUGGUAUCCUGUCUGAAUAUGGGGGGACCAUCCUCCAAGGCUAAAUACUCCUGACUGACCGAUAGUGAACCAGUACCGUGAGGGAAAGGCGAAAAGAACCCCGGCGAGGGGAGUGAAAAAGAACCUGAAACCGUGUACGUACAAGCAGUGGGAGCACGCUUAGGCGUGUGACUGCGUACCUUUUGUAUAAUGGGUCAGCGACUUAUAUUCUGUAGCAAGGUUAACCGAAUAGGGGAGCCGAAGGGAAACCGAGUCUUAACUGGGCGUUAAGUUGCAGGGUAUAGACCCGAAACCCGGUGAUCUAGCCAUGGGCAGGUUGAAGGUUGGGUAACACUAACUGGAGGACCGAACCGACUAAUGUUGAAAAAUUAGCGGAUGACUUGUGGCUGGGGGUGAAAGGCCAAUCAAACCGGGAGAUAGCUGGUUCUCCCCGAAAGCUAUUUAGGUAGCGCCUCGUGAAUUCAUCUCCGGGGGUAGAGCACUGUUUCGGCAAGGGGGUCAUCCCGACUUACCAACCCGAUGCAAACUGCGAAUACCGGAGAAUGUUAUCACGGGAGACACACGGCGGGUGCUAACGUCCGUCGUGAAGAGGGAAACAACCCAGACCGCCAGCUAAGGUCCCAAAGUCAUGGUUAAGUGGGAAACGAUGUGGGAAGGCCCAGACAGCCAGGAUGUUGGCUUAGAAGCAGCCAUCAUUUAAAGAAAGCGUAAUAGCUCACUGGUCGAGUCGGCCUGCGCGGAAGAUGUAACGGGGCUAAACCAUGCACCGAAGCUGCGGCAGCGACGCUUAUGCGUUGUUGGGUAGGGGAGCGUUCUGUAAGCCUGUGAAGGUGUACUGUGAGGUAUGCUGGAGGUAUCAGAAGUGCGAAUGCUGACAUAAGUAACGAUAAAGCGGGUGAAAAGCCCGCUCGCCGGAAGACCAAGGGUUCCUGUCCAACGUUAAUCGGGGCAGGGUGAGUCGACCCCUAAGGCGAGGCCGAAAGGCGUAGUCGAUGGGAAACAGGUUAAUAUUCCUGUACUUGGUGUUACUGCGAAGGGGGGACGGAGAAGGCUAUGUUGGCCGGGCGACGGUUGUCCCGGUUUAAGCGUGUAGGCUGGUUUUCCAGGCAAAUCCGGAAAAUCAAGGCUGAGGCGUGAUGACGAGGCACUACGGUGCUGAAGCAACAAAUGCCCUGCUUCCAGGAAAAGCCUCUAAGCAUCAGGUAACAUCAAAUCGUACCCCAAACCGACACAGGUGGUCAGGUAGAGAAUACCAAGGCGCUUGAGAGAACUCGGGUGAAGGAACUAGGCAAAAUGGUGCCGUAACUUCGGGAGAAGGCACGCUGAUAUGUAGGUGAAGUCCCUCGCGGAUGGAGCUGAAAUCAGUCGAAGAUACCAGCUGGCUGCAACUGUUUAUUAAAAACACAGCACUGUGCAAACACGAAAGUGGACGUAUACGGUGUGACGCCUGCCCGGUGCCGGAAGGUUAAUUGAUGGGGUUAGCGCAAGCGAAGCUCUUGAUCGAAGCCCCGGUAAACGGCGGCCGUAACUAUAACGGUCCUAAGGUAGCGAAAUUCCUUGUCGGGUAAGUUCCGACCUGCACGAAUGGCGUAAUGAUGGCCAGGCUGUCUCCACCCGAGACUCAGUGAAAUUGAACUCGCUGUGAAGAUGCAGUGUACCCGCGGCAAGACGGAAAGACCCCGUGAACCUUUACUAUAGCUUGACACUGAACAUUGAGCCUUGAUGUGUAGGAUAGGUGGGAGGCUUUGAAGUGUGGACGCCAGUCUGCAUGGAGCCGACCUUGAAAUACCACCCUUUAAUGUUUGAUGUUCUAACGUGGACCCGUAAUCCGGGUUGCGGACAGUGUCUGGUGGGUAGUUUGACUGGGGCGGUCUCCUCCUAAAGAGUAACGGAGGAGCACGAAGGUUGGCUAAUCCUGGUCGGACAUCAGGAGGUUAGUGCAAUGGCAUAAGCCAGCUUGACUGCGAGCGUGACGGCGCGAGCAGGUGCGAAAGCAGGUCAUAGUGAUCCGGUGGUUCUGAAUGGAAGGGCCAUCGCUCAACGGAUAAAAGGUACUCCGGGGAUAACAGGCUGAUACCGCCCAAGAGUUCAUAUCGACGGCGGUGUUUGGCACCUCGAUGUCGGCUCAUCACAUCCUGGGGCUGAAGUAGGUCCCAAGGGUAUGGCUGUUCGCCAUUUAAAGUGGUACGCGAGCUGGGUUUAGAACGUCGUGAGACAGUUCGGUCCCUAUCUGCCGUGGGCGCUGGAGAAUUGAGGGGGGCUGCUCCUAGUACGAGAGGACCGGAGUGGA
rnacentral:rRNA from 1 species